UUUGGAGAUGGUAGGUGAGGGUAGCAGGUGAAUGUUAGGAGAUGGUAGGUGAGGGUAGCAAGUGAAUGUUAGGAGAUGGUAGGUGAGGGUAGCAGGUGAAUGUUAGGAGAUGGUAGGUGAGGGUAGCAAGUGAAUGUUAGGAGAUGGUAGGUGAGGGUAGCAAGUGAAUGUUAGGAGAUGGUAGGUGAGGGUAGCAGGUGAAUGUUAGGAGAUGGUAGGUGAGGGUAGCAAGUGAAUGUUAGGAGAUGGUAGGUGAGGGUAGCAGGUGAAUGUUAGGAGAUGGUAGGUGAGGGUAGCAGGUGAAUGUUAGGAGAUGGUAGGUGAGGGUAGCAAGUGAAUGUUAGGAGAUGGUAGGUGAGGGUAGCAGGUGAA